GUGCGCGGCGGGAGGGCGAGGGGGGCGCAGAGAGAGCGAAGGAGUGAUCGAGGUGGGGGGGCGCCGCGGGAGCGGGGGGCCGUGUCCAGCGGAGUUAGCGGCGGAGAAUGUGAGCCGAGGCGCGAGCCAUGCUGUCAGCGACGGCGGGCGGCUCAGGGCUCCUCCACGACUCCUCUCCUCAGCAGCCGGGCGCCCGCGUCGCUGCCACCGCCGGAAGACAGACGUCCCCCAAAACCCCUCGCCUGGCUCGGACCCACGGAGCCGGCAGCCCAGCACUCCGAUGGGAGCUUGCCUGAUUGUCAACCCAUCGGCCUGGACCCCAGAGCCCACCCAGCUGAGCGUGUGCAGAGGGCCCCGAGUGCGGGGCGACGCUCAGGCCGUUGCAGAGACCACCCUGGAGAUGCUGAUGAAGACAGGCCUUUCCUGCUGAGCCCAGCCUAUCUUCGCAGCCUGCUCAGGCGCUGUCCACGCCCCGAGGCCUGGGCUCAGGCCGAAGUUGCUCCACAGCACCCCCAGCUGACAGCCAGCGACUGGCAGAGCCCCCAGGCACGGGGGCCCUCUCUCUUCCAGAGAUCUCCAGUGUGACAGCCCAGGCGGCAGAGCCGAGGGUCCUGGUCCCGGCUUCUCGCACCCUCAUGUCAGCCCCGGCCCCGCCCGGCGGCCUGCGGAGGACAAGGUCAGGAUGCGUGUGAAGCCCCAGGGCCUGGUGGUGACUUCCAGUGCCGUGUGCAGCUCUCCUGACUACCUCCGGGAACCCAAGUACUACCCCGGCGGCCCCCCCACCCCCCG
rnacentral:lncRNA from 1 species